rnacentral:rRNA from 1 species
UACGAAGGGUGCAAGCGUUAAUCGGAAUUACUGGGCGUAAAGCGUGCGUAGGCGGUUUGUUAAGUCUGUUGUGAAAUCCCCGGGCUCAACCUGGGAAUGGCAAUGGAUACUGGACAGCUAGAGUGUGUCAGAGGAUGGUGGAAUUCCCGGUGUAGCGGUGAAAUGCGUAGAGAUCGGGAGGAACAUCAGUGGCGAAGGCGGCCAUCUGGGACAACACUGACGCUGAAGCACGAAAGCGUGGGGAGCAAACAGG